rnacentral:rRNA from 1 species
AUUGAACGCUGGCGGCAGGCUUAACACAUGCAAGUCGAGCGAGCGGCGGACGGGUGCGUAAUGUCUGGGAAACUGCCUGAUGGAGGGGGAUAACUACUGGAAACGGUAGAUAAUACCGCAUACCAUCAGAUGUGCCCCUAUGGGAUUAGCUAGUAGGUGGGGUGAUGGCUCACCUAGGCGACGAUCCCUAGCUGGUCGGAGAGGAUGAACAGCCACACUGGAACUGAGACACGGGCCAGACUCCUACGGGAGGCAGCAGGGGGGAAUAUUGCACAAUGGGCGCAAGCCUGAUGCAGCCAUGCCGCGGGUGUGAAGAGGGCCUUCGGGUUGUAAAGCACUUUCAGCGAGGAGGCGUUACUCGCAGAAGAAGCACCGGCUAACUCCGUGCCAGCCGCCGCGGUAAUAC